GCCGAAUGUGGUGGUGUGAGUCUGUAGUCCCGGUUACUCGGGAGGCUGAGGCUGGAGGAUGGCUUGAGCCCAGGAGUUCUGGGCUGUAGUGCACUAUGCCAAUCGGGUGUCCUCACUAAGAUCAGCAUCAAUAUGGUGACCUCCCAGGAGCGGGGCACCACCAGCUUGCCUAAGGAGGAGUGAACUAGCCCAGGUCGGAAACAGAGCAGGUCAAAACUCCCAUGCUGAUCAGUAGUGGGAUCGCGCCCGUGAAUAGCCACUGCACUCCAGCCUGGGCAGCAUAGCGAGAUCCUGUCUCU
rnacentral:SRP_RNA from 1 species